GACGAACGCUGGCGGCGUGCCUAAUACAUGCAAGUCGAGCGGACCGAACAGGAGCUUGCUCUUGUUCGGUUAGCGGCGGACGGGUGAGUAACACGUGGGUAACCUGCCCGUAAGACCGGGAUAACUCCGGGAAACCGGAGCUAAUACCGGAUAACACCGAAGACCGCAUGGUCUUUGGUUGAAAGGCGGCUUCGGCUGCCACUUACGGAUGGGCCCGCGGCGCAUUAGCUAGUUGGUGAGGUAACGGCUCACCAAGGAGACGAUGCGUAGCCGGCCUGAGAGGGUGACCGGCCACACUGGGACUGAGACACGGCCCAGACUCCUACGGGAGGCAGCAGUAGGGAAUCUUCCGCAAUGGACGAAAGUCUGACGGAGCGACGCCGCGUGAGCGAAGAAGGUCUUCGGAUCGUAAAGCUCGGUUGUUAGGGAAGAAGAAGCGUCGUUCGAACAGGGCGGCGCGGUGACGGUACCUAACGAGAAAGCCCCGGCUAACUACGUG
rnacentral:rRNA from 1 species